GGGAGGAGGGAGAGAGAAAAGAGAGAGUGGGAGAGGAGGAAGAGGCAGAGACAGAACAGAGAUGGGUAUCAAAUAUGAAACUGAUUCAACAAGAUCUCACGGUCUCACCAAUUUGACUUCAGAUUCUGACGUUUAUCCAUGUUUCUCCAAACGUCAAAUCUCGAAGUUGCUCCAAAUGUAAAAUUGGAUGGUGUUUUUGACAACCUAUGUUCCUCCUGCUGCUGUAUCUCAAUCAUGAAUUCUGAAUGGAUCAGUUAAGCUUAAUGUUUGGGGUUAAGGUAUUCAUUCUGAAUGAUCCAGUUAAGGAGUAAUGUGUGGGGUUAAGGUAUUCAUUCUGAAUGGAUCAGUUAAGGGUUCAUGUUUGGGGUUUAGGCAUUCAUUCUGAAUGAUCCAGCUAAGGAGUAAUGUGUGGGGUUAAGGUAUUCAUUCUGAAUGGUUCAGUUCAGGGUUCAUGUUUGGGGUUAAGGUAUUCAUUCUGAAUGGUUCAGUUCAGGGUUAAUGUGUGGGGUUAAGGUAUUCAUUCUGAAUGAUUCAGUUAAGGAGUAAUGUUUGGGGUUAAGGUAUUCAUUCUGAAAUGUUCAGUUAAGGAGUAAUGUUUGGGGUUAAGGUAUUCAUUCUGAAUGGUUCAGUUAAGGGUUAAUGUGUGGGGUUAAGGUAUUCAUUCUGAAUGGUUCAGUUAAGGGUUAAUGUGUGGGGUUAAUUAAGGUAUUCAUUCUGAAUGGUUCAGUUAAGGGUUAAUGUGUGGGGUUAAGGUAUUCAUUCUGAAUGGUUCAGUUUUGGUUAUUACCAUCUAAUGUUUGUACCAUGCUUUGUGUUGCUGCCAUGUUGUGUUGCCAUGUUGUGUUUCUACCAUGCUGUGUUGUCAUGUUGUGUUUCUACCAUGCUGUGUUGCCAUGUUGUGCUGCUACCAUGCUGUGUUGCCAUGUUGUGUUUCUACCAUGUUGUGU
rnacentral:lncRNA from 1 species